GCCUUCGUGGUGUAAUGGACAGCACACUCGGCGCACAUUCGAUAGAUCCGAGGUUCGAGUCCCGGCAAGCGCA
rnacentral:tRNA from 1 species